AUCUACCCCAUUAUACCUGUUAAACCUAUCUAACCCAUCAUAGCUGUUGCACCCAUCUACCCCAUUAUACCUAUCUAACCUGUCAUAGCUGUUACAUCCAUCUACCCCAUUAUAACUGUCACAUCAAUCUACCUGGCUAUUGCUUUCUCAUCCUUCAACCCUGUUAUAGCUGUUAUAUCCAUCUACCCCAUUACAGCUAUUACACCCAUCUACCCCAUUAUAGCUGUCACAUCUAUCUACCCCAUUAUUCAUGCUAGAUCUUUUUAUCCCGUUAUAGCUGUUGCAUCCUUCUGUCCCGUCAUCCGUCUACACCGUUACAGCUGUUACACCAACCGCCCUUUUAUUGCUGCCUCAUUCUUCUACCCCAUUAUUCAUGUUAGAUCCUUCUACCCCAUUAUAGCUGUCUCGUCCUUCUACCCCGUUAUAGCUGUCUCGUCCUUCUACCCCAUUAUUCAUGUUAAAUCCUUCUACCCCAUUAUAGCUGUCUCGUCCUUCUACCCCGUUAUAGCUGUCUCGUCCUUCUACCCCGUUAUAGCUGUCUCGUCCUUCUACCCCGUUAUAGCUGUCUCCUGUCUCAUCCUUCAACCCCAUUAUUCAUGUUAGAUCCUUCUACCCCGUUAUAGCUGUUACACCACUCUACACCUUUAUAAACCCCACAUAAGCUCUCACAUCCUUGUACCCCGUUCUCAGUUACGCUCCUAUUACACCUGUCACAUGCAGCUGCCCCAUUCUGCCGACUAUGUUAUUCAGGGAAAGCGGCCAUACAUAGCAGUGAUCAAAGCUUUAUGACUUUCUACAAGGUCUGAGAACUGAAUUGUGCCUCAAUAAAAGUACAUUAAAUCUUA